GGCGCCGCUGCGGCGCGCGGUGGAACGGGGGUGCUUGCUCCCAGUCGUGCGCCGCUCCGCUCAAGCCGGCUCGCUCUUCCCUCUGCCCCGGUUGCCUCCCCGCUCUGCCUGCCUGGAGAGCCGGGACGGCCGGGACUACCUCCCCUCGGUUUGCGAGUAGCAUCGCCCAUGGUCCUAGAGGUGGACAUUUUCGUAUGGCUUUUACUCUGUUUGUACUUGAUUUUGCUGUACUUUGCGUUUUUCCGUUGUAUCAUUUGUACUAUGUUGAUUGUCGUAAACGACCAAUUUGAAAUGUAUCGCGUGAUUAUUUGCUAGUUUGAAUAUUCGAUGGCUCAUUGUUCGUUGGCGUAUUGUUAGAAGGCAAUUUCUGCAAUACUUCUCAGUACUCGUUUGUUGUGUGACGUGCCACCCGGCUCUAUGCCCGGCCAUGAUUCUGGAUCAUUCGCGCUGAUGGCGGCAGAGGCGGUCGUGUCGUGUCUGUGUUUGCGCGAGCGAUGGUAAGUGGCUGAGCAGUUGUAUUUCACUAUGAUGCGUUAAAAUGUGUGAUCUGUUAGCUCGUAUAGAUAUUCUGUUGUCAAUUUCAUAUAAGACGUUUCAGCGCCAAUAUGAUUAAAACCGAGACUAUGAUAUUUUGCACUGAGGUAAACGACAAUGGACCUGACUGGUGUCUGGAUUCGUAGAUAUGGCGUCGGAGAUGUGAGGCUGGCUUGGGAGGAUGCCUCUGGAUGUAUGGACGUUAGCCGCGAAGCGACCCAGAAGGCACAUUUGUCGCAACGACUGUUACUCUCGAGAUCGUGUGGGCUAUCCACUCAGCUCACUCGGUCCAAUAAACGGUCCGUUAAGA